GACGAACGCUGGCGGCGUGCUUAACAUAUGCAAGUUGAACGGGACGGAUAUUGAAGCGACUUUUCGGAGUGGUGGAUAUAUUUGUUUAGUAGCGGACGGGUGAGUGAUGCAUGAGAACCUGCCCUUCAGAGGGGGACAACAGUUGGAAACGGCUGCUAAUACCCCAUAUGCCGAGAGGUGAAAGGAGCGAUCCGCUGAAGGAGUGGCUCAUGUCCUAUCAGCUAGUUGGUGAGGUAAGUGCUCACCAAGGCGAUGACGGGUAGCCCGGCCUGAGAGGGCGACCGGCCACACUGGAACUGAGAUACGGUCCAGACUCCUACGGGAGGCAGCAGUGGGGAAUAUUGGCAAUGGGCGGAAGCCUGACCCAGCGACGCCGCGUGAGGGAAGAAGGCCUUUGGGUCUUAACCUCUGUUGUAUGGGAAGAAGGAAGUGACGGUACCAUACGAAGAAGUCCCGGCUAACUACGUGCCAGCAGCCGCGAUAAUACCGUANGGGACGAGCGUUGCCCGAAUUAUUGGCGUAAAGGGCGCGUA
rnacentral:rRNA from 1 species